rnacentral:rRNA from 1 species
CCUACGGGGGGCAGCAGUGGGGAAUAUUGGGCAAUGGGCGCAAGCCUGACCCAGCAACGCCGCGUGAAGGAAGAAGGCCCUCGGGUUGCAAACUUCUUUUAUCAAGGACGAAACAAAUGACGGUACUUGAUGAAUAAGCCACGGCUAACUACGUGCCAGCAGCCGCGGUAAUACGGAGGAUCCGAGCGUUAUCCGGAUUCAUUGGGUUUAAAGGGUGCGUAGGUUGUUUUAUAAGUUAGCGGUGAAAUACCGAUGCUCAACAUCGGGGCUGCCGCUAAUACUGUAGGACUAGAGAUCGGAUGCAG